AUGGUGCUCCUGGGGGAGCUCGGGACCCCCACUACUGAUCGGCACGGGGGAUUUGACCUGCUCCGUCUCCGACCUGGGCCGGUUCACCCCUCCUUAGACGACCUGGUGGUCCCGAGCUCCCCCAGGAGCACCAUAUCGAUACCGAACUUAGCGCGGACAUCCGAUCGACAUAGUCCACUGCAGCCCAGAACCCCUGAACUCAAGCGAUCCGCCAGCCUCAACCUCCCAGCAGCUUGGAUUACAGGCGCGCGCCACUGCACCCGGCGAGAGCUGCGAGCACCAGCGCUGCUACUCAAUCUAGUGCUCACUGACCUCUAGUGCAGCACAGCAGAAGACUAGACUAACAUUAGCUGUGGAGCAGAGUGAACUUCAUAGUGUUUAAACAUCUCCAAACAAAUCAGCAAAGAUCUAUAACACAUCUGACUAUAAUUUAAUCCAUCUCAAUUGUUAAUACAUGAAUCAUUUGUGAUAACUUUGGAUUUUUAGCUGGUUUAAUAUCUGUUUUAUCAUAUGUAUGCAUAUUUAU
rnacentral:lncRNA from 1 species